rnacentral:lncRNA from 1 species
UUCUUUAUAUAGUAUGUUACAAUUAGGGUUACACCAUGUAAACCCUAAUUGUCAUGACCUUUCAUUUCCAUCACCCAUGGGUUAUGUAACCCCCAUGGAGCAUCUUAUGGGUUUAACCCAACUUGAUAAUCCAUGGAGCCUUAGCCCAGUAUAUAAGUUAUGGAUGAUUGACACAAUCAACCCAUAUAUUUAAUUAGUCUUCUUUUGAUCACAUAAUUAAUUCUAAAUUAAUUAUUGAUCAAUACUAACUAAAUAUUAUUAUUCUUAUUAUUAAUAUAUUAGAACUUAUAAUAUAUUAAUAAACCAUAAGUGUCUUAUUUCUCUCAUUUAGUCUAUCCAAGUGCAUGAUGCCAAGCAACCCAAAUGGACCAUGCCGGGUCGGGUUAAGUACAUACCAAAUAUAGUUAUGGACUUAGACACUAUAUCCAAUAGUCUCCCACAUGGAUAAGUCUAAUAACAAUAGUUGCAAGUAUGACUUCAGGAACCGAUCAGCAAUCGUAGCUCUUUCAAGGUCUCUCGAAACUGAGAAGAUGAUGGUGUGCCAUUUUAGAUAAGUGAUCAUAUAAUCCUCUGUUCUAGAUAUCAGUCGGACAAAGACAUGGAACAAUGUCUUUCUAUUGUCUAGCAGUUGUUUCCUGAUUUCCGAUUUGUUUGACAUAGAACUUAAUUGAACACAUCAAUUCAGUUCUGACCGGGCUCGGUACAUGGUUCAAAACAAAAUCAUCGAGGGGCCCAGAUAUCGCUUUUAAUCUAAGAAGGAACAAAUAAACUUUGAAUCAUAUGUUUGCUCUACUACUUGUUGAAUUACACACAAAGGUACGUUUUAUAACAUCGAGUUACCAAUGCGUUUUCGUACAAUCAAUGCAUAACCAACUCAUAGGUAACAAAUCAUUUGUCUAGGUUUGAAGACUUAUAUGAUAUUACCGUCUCACGAUCACUCGAGAUAAAUUCCAUGAAGUGAUACCAGUGAGCGUGGGUUGAAUCCAAUAUUCAGAACUUAUGAGAACUUAUGAGUGUUGUAGCCCCCUUUGUCCAACAUCUUGGACCUCUACAAACCAACCCAUGACAGUCUUGAUUCAUAUGUACUUCCAACAUAUGAUUGACUGUGGAGAAUUUGAAUAAUAUGAUAUAUACCAUAACAUAUUUAUUCUAGAAGUCAAAACAUGCAAAAAGAAAUACUAGUAAAUGAUUGACAAGAGAUAGUAACACUUUACUCAUAAAUAACAACUUUUAUUUAUCAUCAAAUGUCAAUUACAUUUUACAUAUUUCAAAAAUUACUAACCUCUAAAACUAAUAUCAUCUCUUAGCCCUAUGAUCCUAGCAUGCUGAAGAUGCUUAACCCUAUUCAGUCCCUUCGUGAGGGGAUUUGUCGGGUUCUCAUCUGAUGAUACCUUCUUUGCCACGAGAAUUCCUUCUUUUAUUUGAUGUCUGAUGAAAUGAUAGUUUUUUUCGAUGUGCCUGGAUCUCCCGUGAUCCCUUGGUUCCUUUGCUAACGCAACUGCACUUUCAGUAUCACAAAAAAAUUCCAUGGGCUCUUUAAUAGCUGGUACAACUCCAAGGUCUCCGAUGAAAUUCCUUAGCCAUAUAGCCUCCUUUGUUGCUUCACUUGCUGCUAUAUACUCUGAUUCACAAGUGGAAUCAGCCACUAUAUCUUGCUUGGAACUUUUCCAAGUAAUUGCCCCUCCAUUUAGGGUAAAGACCCAGCCCAACUGAGAGCGAAAAUUAUCCCUAUCAGUCUGAAAGCUAGCAUCACUAUACCCUGCUACUUUCAAGUCAUCACUCCCACCAAGGGUAAGGACCCAGUCCUUAGUCCUUCGCAGGUACUUGAGAAUAUUCUUUACUGUAGUCUAGUGAGCCUUGCCAGGAUUACUCUGAUAUCUGCUAGCCAUGCUUAAAGCAAAAGCAACAUCAGGACGAGUACAAGUCAUAUCAUACAUGAUCGAGCCUACAACGAAAGCAUAUGGGACUCGACCCAUCUAAGCUAUCUCUUCAUCUGUACUCGGGCUCUGAGUUUUACUCAGUCUGGCAUUACACUGAAUAGGUAAAUCUCCUUUCUUGGAAUUUUCCAUACUAAACCUCUUCAGCACUUUGUCCAAGUAGGUACUCUGUGACAACCCGAAAUUUCCAUUUGGUCAAACCCUAAAACUCAACCACUUCGUAUCAUAAAUUAAUGUCAUUAUUUCUUAUUUUUAAGAAAUAUAAAGUUCGUCUGAUUAUUUUAAUAUUAUUUUUAAACGAACGGGUGAAAGAAAGUGCCGUCUCGGGUUUUGAAUUUUAAAAACCACAAACACUUCGCGUAUUAGAAACACCCGACCAAACUUUUAUGUUUUGGGUUGAGAAAUCACCCAAAACCGUGAACUCAUACCUAUGUAUGAGUUUACUCCCCAAGAAGUUGGUCAUUUGUGUUUACUCCCCAAAAGUCAAAAGAGUAAACUCCAAAAACUCUCUCAAGUAUCAUCCAAGAUUUAAUUCCAAACCUUCAAUCUUGUAGGUGUUCUAACCAUUUUAAGUUAGUAAAACACUUAAUCUAGUGUUUAUACAUCUAAUCAUCCACUCAUAUGUGUAUUUUGACUAGAUUUCCAAAACACCAAGAACACACUAAGUGUUCUUGGCCUUUUAGCUCAAAUCAAGCCUUCGAAUAGUAAGUGCUUCCAUCCUUGAGUUAUUUUAAGCUAGUAGUACAUAUGAACAUCAAGAAAUUAUGUCAAGAACACAAGGCUAGAGGUGUUUACGGUCCAAGGAGAUGCUUGGACCGUAAACACCAUAAAUGACACCAAAGUGUGCCUAAACCUCUANACACCAAAGUGUGUCUAAGCCUCAAAUCUAAGUCCUAGUUGAUGUAUAAACCAAUCUUGACAUGUUUAAACCUUGAAAAACAUCAAAAACCAACAAUCAUAGGUGUUUACGGUUUGGGGAUCUCCCAAAACCGUAAACACCCUAAAGUGGGUUUAAGUUGGUCAUUUUCCUUCCUUAGGCUUAGAAACUAGCACAUACACUUACCUAAUUGUGUUAAGGACUUGAAAACAUGGCAAUACCCUUCUCCAUAAGGGUUUACGGUAGUAAACCCAAAGGAAAAUGCCAUGAGGUCGUAAACUCCUCAAAGGGGGUGUUUUGUUGCCCUAGUCCAUACCAAAGGCCAAACCACUUAGUAGAAAUGCUUCAAUAGGCUUGCUAAACCUCAAAACAACACUUGGUCAUUAGGACUAGAGUUUACGACUGUAAACUCUAGAGUUUACUACCGUAAACUCCCUAGGUAUUGACCAUCAAAACCGUAAACUCCAAGGGAGUUUACCCUUGGACUCCAAACACACUAGCUUUGCCCUACCAACACUCGGAUGCAAUCCUUGUGAUCUUUAACACUUGAAACAAAUUGUUUUCAUGUUCUAGGGUGUCCCAACUUAUUAAUUAGUUGUAAUUUGUCUAAUUAGUUAUAUAUAUGUUCAUUAUAUGAUAAUUAGGCUCGUGCGUGUGUACAAGUCUUCAUUUGUCACCUAGCACCGUAUCCGACACUUCCAUCCGAUCCACUCACCACAUGUGAGUUCAUACCCCUUUAAUUAACCUUUGAAAUACUUUUAAAUGUUUUAAAUGCUUUUAUGGGUGGGGGGGGAAUACAAGUUGAAUACUUAUAGUUAUUACAUCAAUCACAUGUGAUUAAUAACUACAAAACCAAUGAUUUUACUACUAUUCAAACUGUUUCUCAAACUGUUUUACUUCAAACUGCUUUACAAACUCUUUUACUUAUCAAAUACUUGUACUUAAACUUUGUUACACUUAUUAUAAAUUGCAUGCCCGUAUAUGUAUAGUUAUAUAAGCAAUGUUUAACAGACUUAGGAAGGUCGUCCGCCCUGUUUCCUUUUCCUCGAUUUGGAUGUGGUCUGGUGGGAUAUCGGGUAGCCGUCCGAAGGUCGUUUCAACAUUAAUUAUAUAUCAUGUGUACAUAUAUAGACAUAAAAGUGCUUCUAUAUUCAUGCGUACUAGUUACAUCAUUAGUAAGUUACCAUCGGGGUAGCACAGGAUCAUACUUAUACUAUUGCUAGAUCAAUGAGUCAGUUCAUUCAUGAGUCAAUACUUAUUACUAUGAGAACAUAUACAUUACAUUACUAUGAGUACAUAUACAACUAUACUAUGAGAAGAACAUAUACAACUAUACUAGAGGAAGAACAUAUACAACUAUACUAGAAAGAGAACAUAUACAACUAUACUAGAAAGAGAACAUAUACAACGAUACUAGAACGAGUAACAAUACAUUACAUAUACAUAUAUACAUUGACAAAAUUGUGAUCCACUGUAUCGGAGCAUGCCUUAAAUGUCAUGGCCCGAGUUGUAGCCAGAGUCUCUUGGAGGGAGAGCGUGAGUUUGCGUAUAGAUCUAUACUGGAUUGACUAUCCUACACCUUGCUGCUAGCUACAGCCGGACCUGCAGGUCUGCGGGUGCCAAAUGUCAUUUCUUUUUACGACCAUACCUUUUGUCGUUGUUACCAGUCGAUAGUAUGGUACAAUUAAUCACAUGAUACCUUAAUAUAAAUCCGGUUUAAGGUAGUUAGUACAACAGUAGUUCCUAUAAUACAACACUACAGUACUACAGUAAUUUACCCUUUACAUAUAUUUAGUGAUUAUUUCACUUAAACAUGAAUGUACAAACUAUAUUUUGUUAAUGAUAGUUACACUUGGGAAAUUACACACUUUUACAAUAAACGAACAUACAAAACAGUUACGCCUUGGUAGAAGGCUACUUUUAAUAGAAAAUAUAGGUUUUUCUGAGAGAUUCAAACUUUUACAAACACUUACAAACAUUUACAUACUUUUAUCACCAAUGUUUACAAACUCAUGCUUAGAACCAUGUUCAAACGUUUGAUACAAACACCGACACUAAAAUACUUAUGAACUCACCAGCUUAAUGUUGAUAAACUCCUUCAAAAAAACUUGUAUUCUCAGGUCGACAGUAGACAGGUACCGAGGCCAGCUUUUGAGAAGAUGGAGCGCAUCCAAGACUCAUCUUAUUAUUUUGAUUUACAUUUUUUUGGUGUCUAUAACUGUACGGAACACAUUUGUCUUAAAAUUAUAUAUUUAAUGCAAUGGAUGAUGUUGUUUGCUUAUUUACUGUUAUACUGUGUUGUGAUACUUUACAUGACGUCCUCCGCCCCAGAACGUUUCUGCCGUUCUUGGUUUUGGGCUGUGACAUAAUCUGACUAAGUCCAAUUAGUCUUUUACUCCUGUUUCUCAAAAUCUUUAUCUAGAGGAUAUAGGCAGCUUCUCCUAGGUCUUUCAUAGAGAAACACUUCCCAAGCCAGGAUUUCACUUCCUGCAAGGUUGGGAUGUCAUUUCCUAUGAGCAGUAUGUCAUCCACAUACAGUACCAAAAAGCUAACUAUACUCCCACUAGCCUUGACAUAUAUACAAGAUUCAUCUUCACAUCUCGAAAAGCCAAACUCUUUGACUUUCUCAUCGAAGCAAAGAUUCCAUCUGCGAGGUGCUUGUUUCAAUCCAUAUAUGGAUUUUUCAAGCUUACACACCCUAUUAGGGUAUUCUGUACUUACAAAACCCUCUGGCUGAACCAUGUAAACAUCCUCAGCCAACUUUCCAUUAAGGAAAGCGGUUUUAACAUCCAUUUUCCAUAUUUCAUAAUCAUGAAAUGCAGUAAAGGCUAACAGAACCCUAAUAGACUUAAUCUUGGCCACUGGUGCAAAGGUCUCAUCAUAAUCAACUCCCGGAGUUUGAGAAUAACCCUUUGCAACCAGUCGUGCCUUAUAAGUGUGUACAUUACCAUCCAUGUCGGUCUUCUUCUUGAAGAUCCAUUUGCACCCUACUGUCUUACGACCUGGUACAUUGUCAACCAAGUUCCAAACUUGAUUGUCAUACAUGGAUUGUAUCUCGCUGUCCAUAGCCUCUUUCCAUUUAGCAGACUCAGGGCCUGCCACAGCUUCCGUGUAGCUGUUAGGCUCUUCCAGAUUUAUCAGUUUAUUAUCGAUGAUAAGAGUAUCACCUUCUGCAGUAAUAUGGAAACCAUAAUAAUGCUCAGGUGCAUUCCUAACUCUGGUGGAAAGCCUCAGAGGUAUGGACUCUUCAGUCGGAUCAAUAGGAGUUUCCUCCUAUUGAUAGUCCAUGGAGUGUUUAACCCAUGGAUCAUAUGAAAUGAAAGGUUAUGGGUUUAACCCUAGUCUCUACACUAUAUAAAGAUGUCCUUGGUUGGUGAAAUGGGCACUGGUGUAGGUACACUAAGAGGGCUAGCCGAUUUCACUAGAGAGAACCAAAGUAUCCUUAUUCUCAAGGUUAUUCCAAGUGUUCAUGGUGUUGUGUGAACCAUUUGAGGUGUCACACUUGGGGCACUAGGCACUCAAGCUUCAUGAAGACAAGCUACAUCAACAAGGUAUGUCUUCUAACUUGUUUUAUUACCCAAGUAUCAAAGAUUGUAUGCUAGAUUGGGUAAUACCUUGGAAUUUUCAUAUUUUCAUGUAUAAUAGAGAAAACAUAGAUCCAAGGUAUUUAGGGUUGCAAGUACACCAUAGGAGUGUUAGAAUGUUCAAAUCCCAACAGAUAUAACUAAAAGAUUUAUGUGGGUAGCCAAUGAAAAUACACCUCUCACUUCGAGGUUCGAGCUUGUCGUGAGUCUCGCGUCUCACGAAAGCCUCAACUCUCCCUUCAUUAAAAGUAUUAAUGAUAAAUACUAAGUAACUAAACGCUUAGUAAUACCCAAUCUUAGUUACUUAGGAAAAUGUGAAUUUGGUGCUAAUCCAUGAAAUUACACUUUGCGCUAUGUUUAAGUCGGUUAGUGGAGCAUGUGUGGUUAUCCGGCACACUAACUCGUAUUUAACAAGGUAGGCAAAGGUAACUUAAUGUUUAUCAUAGUAUCGGUGGAGCGUGUGUGGUUAACCGGCACAUCGAUUGAGGGGUAAAAAUUAAGGUUACCAAGUAUAUUUGCAUGGUUAUUCACACCUUGUUUUGUGAUCCUCGGCAUCCCAAUCACAAAACUUGAAGGGCACACUCGAGAUUGAAACAUGUCAUUGAAAAGUUCAAUGAAUGUCAAAAGAAUCUAGGAGUUUCAAAACCAAUUAAAACCUAAUAAUACAUUUCGCUUAUCUUGGUGGAAAUUGGUGAAUCGUCAUUCACCUACCUUCAAAUAUUUUAUAGCUUGGAUUAAGGCAUCCCUCUUCCAAGUUAUAAAAUAGUUUGUUGGGUCCUAACCUUAAUAUUUCAUAUUGGGUGUUAUAUUAAGGACUUUAGAUCAACUAUCUUGAAUAUCUCCGAAAAGAUGUCUAAUUUAGACAUCAAUGAUCUUCCCAAAUCUCUUGGAACUUCACUUCCUCCAUCUCGUCCAAUUAUUCUCCCUAACCCACAAGUUCAAGGUCACUCAAGCCCUAUUGGCAAGCAAACUCUAUGUGUGCUCACAUCUUGGAGAUGAAGUCACAUAUUGACAAGCCGGGAGAGUUGGGUGUCAAAGUCUUAAGAAAGUUGGAUGUUCAAUCACUUUCUAAGUCACAUAGUGAGUUACCUUUGGGACUACUAUGAAAUAGACUAUGACAUGACCCUAAAUGAUCUUAUCUAUUUUCUUGGUACUGCUGAAUCAGCAAUGAUUUGGAGCUUUGGUAAAGCAAAUUUGAUUAGUAGAUCAACUUCCCAAACCUUCAAUGGACAUUGACAAUGGUUGCAUUAGAUACCCAGUAAAAGCAUUCUCUUCCCAAUUGAAAGGGAUUAGCCAUAGUCAACUCAGUUGACCAAAUGGUAAAGAGAAAGGCUAAGUCUGAGAUUGUCCCAUGUAUCAUUCCCAAAGGGUCCAUAUGGUUCUAUUGCCAAAAGGAAAUGGCAUUGGUUGCGAAGCUGCCAAAUUUACCUGAAAGAUCAUAAGGCUGGUAAAGUUAAUAAAUUUGACUCUACUAUAGGUAAAGUCCACUAUCUAACUCGAUUAAGUUUCUAUUCUUAGAUUCUUAUUACAUGAUGUGACUGGGUCAUAUGUUGAUGUUUUAAGAAUCAAAAGAAAAGUGAAGAAACUUAAAGGAAGAGUAUGUUGAAUCUGAUCGCGAAGAUGGAUUUCUAUCGCUUGAUUGACGAUUGGAUUCUUGAGCUACUUCUUAGGAGUUAUGAUAUAUUGCUUAGGAAUAGAUAACAACAAAGUUUUCAUGUGCUUUUGCACUGUAAGGAUAGUUUUUCCGCAAAGUUUUUAAAAUAAAAAGGGAAAUUUUGAUUUUAUUUUAAAAUAUCCUUACAUUGGCAUUUGUGAAAAUUUUGUUACUUAUAUGAUUCCAUUAAUAGCAAGAGUGGAAAUAUGAAUUUGAUUCUUUCAUUUGUGGUAGUGUCUAAAUUUACCAAAUAAGAAAAGCUUCUCAUCACCCAAGUUUCAGUUGGAUAGAAACUUGGAAUCAUGCAAGCUGUAUAGCAUGAUGAAUGAGAACUUUCAAGCAUUGGAAAAUUAAGACUAACUACUUGUUCACAUGGAUGUUUGAGUCAAGUAAAGGACUAAGGGAUCGAGUACACAUUCUUGUGCACUGAUCAAGUCCACCACAACAGAUCGAUAAGACUAUUCGUAAUAAUUUACUAAAGCUCAGUAAAUGUGGUUAUACUUACAAGCUUAAGUGUAAUUUUGAGACAUUGGAAAAGGUUCCAAUGUAUGGCAGAGCGAAUAAGAAGAAUCAACUUAGGCAUAAAGAUAAAAGUUUCUCAAAUCUGAAAAGAUGGGAGAGUACUUUAGCAUCAUGUUUUGUGAUCAUCUUAAUGAUCACAAAAUCAUGUAACAAUUAGUCCUCUAAAGUCAUCUUAGUGUAUUCUUAUGACUAAGAAGAGGAAUCUUGAAUUGUUUAAAUGAUUAAAUCAAGAAGAUGAGUCAUGAUUCGUUCCAAAAACAAUUCUUAGAGUUAUACUCCAAGAUUGUAACUUGAGUGACACAUCUUAAAUAAGGUUUAUUAACACUGGUCAAAUGUAAGAGUAAAAGGUUUUCUACUCUUGUACAUUUGAAAUUGGUAAGUUGUGAUGUUUUGGAUAAAACAAAGACCAACUAAGGCUAAUUGUGUGAAGUGUUUGUCUUGAUUAGAAUCCACACUGUCUCUUGAAUAUCUGACAAGAAAGUCUUAUAUUUCAAGAGGACAGUAGGAGUCUAAAAGAAUCUUGAAAGGGUUUCAAGAAGUAAUCAAGAAGAAAAACUUGCAUUUCAUUACUAGCACACAACUAGAGGUUUAUAACCUAUCGUGUUGACAUUUCUGUGCCCAUUCCAGUUAAGUUGGCUAUACAUUUGAGUUCUACAAGUUCUCAAUUGUUUGCAUAACUACUUGGAAGCAAUGGCAGACCCUUGAGCUGCCAGGUGGCAAGAAAUUAAGAUUGAGUUCAGUCCAUAUGAGUUUGGACUUGUCAUUAUCAUUGUCUUGUGAUUAUGGUUUUGAAAAAUUCAUGUGGAUAAGAACACAUACACCAUAAAAUCUAAGGGUCAUAAGGUUUCUCUCCGAUUCAUGAAAAUGAUGGUGAGGAAACACUUCCACCAAGUAGAUUUGAAGCAGAUAGCAAAGGUCUAAACAAUUGAGACUAUGAUUACGACAUCCCUUUUCAUAGUUCUGAAAUUGUUUAGACACACCUGUGAGCUAUCUAAGAGAGGUGUAUGAUUUUGAUAAAGUCUUAUCAAACCAAUCUAGUAUCAGAAAUCUGAACUUUGGUAAGAAAGUCAAUAAAGUAUUGACUUCUAGAAGUCCAGCUAAUUUCUGGAUACAUGUCAAAGCUAGUGGGAGCAUAAGUGUUAUGCUAAUAAUCAUCAUGUUAGUGGGAGCAUGAUAAUUAUGAUAAAGGUUGCAAGUUAGCAAUGUUAAUUAUAGAAAACAAAAGUUUCAAUUCGUUAAGUUGCAAGGGUUGAAAAGUUGUUUUGCUAUAAUUAAGGGAGAGGAAAUUAUACUUCAUUUCAAUUCUAAAGCUUAGAUUGAGGUUUUAAUCAUCUUUAGUCAAGGAUAUAUAUGAAUUUUGUGUUGGAAUGGCUCAACAUAAGUAAAUUUUAUAUAUGGGUCUAUUAUUUGCGUUCUAAAAUUCGAUUAUGAUUACGACAUCCCUUUUCAUAAUCUGAAUUAUGAGAACUUGGGAAAUAGAAAUAUUGUAGCAAAAGGACUAGUCCAGUAUCAUGUCUUUAUGUGAGACAUCAUGAAUCGUGUCCCAUAUGCUUCGGAUAUAGGAUCGAUUGCAUGUGCUAUAAUAUUUAUCCUUUCUAAAUUUUUCCAAAUGCCUAGGGCAUUAAGAGGGAAAAGGUCUAGAAUUGGAUAUGACUAACAUGAUUAAGCAAUUGUCGACGACAAUCUAAGGUUUACCGAUGAUUGGUUGCUCAGGGAUAGUUGGAAGUAUAAUGUUAAUUUUGGAAGGACCAUAUUGACAUAUUUUGAAAAGAGGCAACUCUUGUUCAGAAGUGAUCGUCAAAAUGGGAAUAUGGAGUUGUCUCCGUAGAUAGAAGCAAUCUGUGUAAGAUUAGAAAAACUUAGUGUAAGAAGCAUGUUCAAAGCAAUGAAUACUUUGAACAUAAGGUUUUGUGUCCAUGGAGUAGGUCUUCAUUGGAAUACUCGGUAAUGGUUGUUGGCAAGUCUUUGUGACUUUGUACACAUUCAUUGCAAGAGGUUAGUGUUUUAAGUUUAAAAUCUAACAGAUUUCGAUUUGGGAGUGUGAAAUUAGAAUCAUUGAAAUUAUGUUCAAUUGGUUUAUUUCACAAAGUAAGGAUCAUAGACAAACAUAGAGUGCAUACUUGGUGUAUGGCAAAGCUAUUGUUAGAAAAACAUAGUGUACAUUCUUGGAGCAUGGGACAACUAGUGUUUUUUCAAGUAUAAAGUUGAUAAAACCAAAACAAUGAAUAAUGAGUAAUCAAUAUAGUAUUAAAUAAAAGUUGCUUUAUUUAUAUUCAUAGUUUUUGAUACCAUAUCAGAUUCAAUUAUUCUUGUGUUUCAUUUUGCAGGUUUUGACUUCCAAAAUAAACUAGGUCAUUCUUCCCGAAUGACUAAGUUAAUUAUUCAAACCAUCCACAUUCGUUCAUACGUUCGAAGUAGAUAUGAAUCAAGACUGUCAUGGAUUGGCUUGUAGAGGUCUAAGAUGUUGGACAAAGUGGUGCUACAACACUCAUGAGUGCUCAUAAGUUCUGAGUAUUGGAUUCAACCCACGCUCACUGGAAUCACUUCAUGGAUUUUAUCACGAGUGAUCAUCAGGCAAUAAUAUCUCAUAUUCUUCAAACCUAGAGAUAUGAGUUGUUACUAUGAGUUGGUUGUACAUUGAUUGCACGAAAACACAUUGGUAACUCGAUGUUAUAAAACGUGCAUUUGUGUAUGAUUCAACAAGUAGUAGUACAAUCCAUAUGAGUCAAAGCUUAUCCAUUCCUUUUACCUUUGGGAUAAAAGCGAUAUCUGUGGGCCCCUCGAUGAUUUAAUGAUGAUACAUGUGAGUGCUUGGCCAAGCCAGGACUGAUUUGAUUUGUUCAAUCAGCCAGUCAUCAUAAAUCGAAAAUCGGGAAACAACAAAUGGACAGAGAGAAUGAUUUAUAAUCCAUGUCUCAGUCCAUAUGAUAUCUAUAAUGGAGGAAUAUAUGAUCCUUUAUCUAAUGGACAAGUCAUUGACAAGAUCAGAGUUCAGUUAACACGUUAGAGUUCGACAGAAGCUUUUGAGAGCUACGAUUGCUAGUUGGGUUUUGAAGUCAUACUCAAUAAUAGUUUUAGACUUAUCCAAGUGGGAGACUAUUGGAUUAAUGUCUAAGUCCAUAACUAUAAUUGAUAUGACUUGACCCGACCCGGCAUGGUCCAUUUGGGUUGCAUGGCAUCGGGACAAUUGGAUAGACAACAUGAGGAAAAAAGAUACUAGUGAUAUAUAUUAAUAUAUUAUAAGUUCUAAUAUAUUAAUAUAUAAUCAUAUUAUUUAAUUAGUAUUGAUCAAGAAUUAAUUUAUAAUUAAUUAAGUGAUCAAAAGGAACUAAUUAAAUAUGGACUCUUAGAUAUAUAUNNNNNNNNNNNNNNNNNNNNNNNNNNNNNNNNNNNNNNNNNNNNNNNNNNNNNNNNNNNNNNNNNNNNNNNNNNNNNNNNNNNNNNNNNNNNNNNNNNNNNNNNNNNNNNNNNNNNNNNNNNNNNNNNNNNNNNNNNNNNNNNNNNNNNNNNNNNNNNNNNNNNNNNNNNNNNNNNNNNNNNNNNNNNNNNNNNNNNNNNNNNNNNNNNNNNNNNNNNNNNNNNNNNNNNNNNNNNNNNNNNNNNNNNNNNNNNNNNNNNNNNNNNNNNNNNNNNNNNNNNNNNNNNNNNNNNNNNNNNNNNNNNNNNNNNNNNNNNNNNNNNNNNNNNNNNNNNNNNNNNNNNNNNNNNNNNNNNNNNNNNNNNNNNNNNNNNNNNNNNNNNNNNNNNNNNNNNNNNNNNNNNNNNNNNNNNNNNNNNNNNNNNNNNNNNNNNNNNNNNNNNNNNNNNNNNNNNNNNNNNNNNNNNNNNNNNNNNNNNNNNNNNNNNNNNNNNNNNNNNNNNNNNNNNNNNNNNNNNNNNNNNNNNNNNNNNNNNNNNNNNNNNNNNNNNNNNNNNNNNNNNNNNNNNNNNNNNNNNNNNCCACUGUCUCCUUGGCUUAUGAGUUCUCUCUCUCGAAAGACUCCUCUUCUUGCUACAAAGACCACAUUGUCACUGGGUCUGUAAAAGAUAUAACCAAAAGAUUUAUGUGGGUAGCCAAUGAAAAUACACCUCGCACUUCGAGGUUCGAGCUUCUCGUGAGUCUCGCAUCUCACGAAAGCCUCACAACCCCAAACCUUGAUGUGGUCUAGAUUUGUAACUUUUUCAGUCCACAUCUACCUUCUUUGUAGGGACUAUGUUAAGGAUAUGGGCGGCAGUCUCUAAGGCAUGCCUCCAAAAUGAGAUUGGUAGCGAAGCUCNAAGCUCGACUCAUCAUGGAACGAACCAUAUCCAACAAGGUUCGAUUACGCCUCUCAGCUACACCAUUAAACUGUGGUGUCCUGGGAGGUGUCAAUUGUGUGUCAAUCCCACAUUCCUUAAGAUAGUCAAGGAACUCUGUACUAAGAUACUCACCACCUCGAUCAAAUCAAAGCAUCUUAAUGUUCCUGCCCAACUGAUUCUCCACUUCUUCUUUAAACUCCUUGAACUUUUCAAAGGUUUCUAACUUAUGCUUGAUUAAGUAGACAUAUCCAUAUCUACUAUAAUCAUCAGAAAAAGUAACUUAGAAGAGGAUAGCAUCCCUUGUGGCGGUUAUGAAGGGUCCACACACAUCAGUAUGUAUGAGAUCCAACAAACCCUCACCCCUAGCACAAGUGCCAGUAAAAGGUGACUUUGUCAUUUUUCCAAGUAGACAGGAUUCACAACUAUCAUCCGACUUUAGAUCGAAUGAUNAAGACUCCAUCCUUUUGGAGUUGGCCUAUGCGUUUCUUGCUUACAUGUCCAAGACGACAAUGCCAUAAAGAUUCUUUAUCUAAGCUAGUGGAAGAAUCGAUACACAAUACAUUAUUUCCUAAGUUAUCUACAACAGAUACAGUUUCAUACACACCAUCACAAGGUAAUGCUUUAAAAUAAAGAACACUAUUAUAGAAAGCAUCAAUACCACCACUUUUAUUAUCAAAAUAAAAGGUGAACCCUUGUUUAUAUAAUGCAUGAAAGGAAAUAACAUUUCUUACCAUUUCUGGCGAAUAACAACAUUUAUUCAAGUCUAAUGUAAGCCCACUAUCUAGUAACAAGUAAUAAACUCCAAUCUAGGUGACAGGUGAAACUUUCCUAUUCGCCAUGAUUAGGUUUAUCUUUCCAUGUUCCAAAUCCUCACUUCUUCUUAGUCCCUGCACAUCAGAACAUAUGUGAAUUCCACAACCUGUAUCAAGGACCCAAGACUUAGAAUGAGGUGAGUUAUUAGACAAUAUAGUGUAUAUACCUGCAUGGUUGGGUGUUACUUUCCCAUCCUUCAAAUAUUGCUAGUACUUUGGGCAGUUUCGCUUCCAGUGCGACUUUUCAUGGCAAUAAAAGCAUUCAGCCUCAUUAGGGUUAGCAGAAGGAGUGACAAAACCUUUAUUGGUUUUGCUUGAAGAUGAGCCUUCAAGGGUCUUACCCUUGGUAUCCUUAGAAGAUUUCUUUCUCUUCUUACCUUUGCCAUGCCCGAUUGCCAAGACAUUGGCCGCAGUAGGAGUAGGAGGAGUAGUAACAUCCGACUUACCCUUAAGACUACUUUCUGCAGUCUUUAAGAGUCCUUGAAGUUUACUAAGUGUAACUUCUUCCUUAUUCAUGUGAUAUAUCAUUCUAAAUCGAUCAUAACAUGAAGGUAAGGAGUGCAAAAUGAUAUCUAUUGCUUACUCCUCAGGAAAGUCAACAUUCAGUUUCUUCAAGUGAUCCACAAACCUUUGCAUUUUCUGUAAGUGCGUCGUGAGGGACUCAUUAUCCUUCAUUUUGGUGGUUAUCAUGGAGGAGAUUAUUUUAUACCUCUCUUAACGAGUACUUUGAUGGUAUCGCUCCAUCAAGUCCAUGUGCAUCUCAAAAGGGUAAUAGUCCUCAUAGGACUUUUAGAGCUCAGUUGUCAUUGUGGCAGUCAUGAUACAAGCUACUUUGGUAGCAUCCCUUUCAUGUGCUUGAAAUGCAGCAAUCUCCUCUGGGGUAGCAGUUGACUCAUCAAUCUCCUUCAGCUCCCUAUCAAGGACAUAUUCUUUGUCCUCAUAGGGAGUGACCAUCCUGAUGUUUCUGAUCCAAUCCAUAAAAUUGGAUCCAUCAAAGAUGACUCUCCCACAAAGGUUCAUGAGAGAAAAGGAGCCAGUAUGGUUUGAGCCAAAAGCAUUGUUAUUGAAAGACAUCUGAAAUGAAAGAAUAAGUUUAGAUUAGAUUUCAGGAUAGUCCUUAAUAAAGCACAGAAAUGCUAUAUUAAGGCUAGGACCCAACACAAUAUUUUAUAACUUAGAAGAGGGAUGCCGUAAUCCAGGCUAUAAAAUAUUUGAAGGUAUGUGAAUGACGAUUCACCAAUUUCCACCAUAAAACGAAAUAAAUCUUAUUAGGUUUUAAUUGGUUUAGAAAUUCCUAGGUUCUUUGAAAUUCAUUGAACUUUUCAAUGGCAUGUUUCAAUCUCGAGUGUGUCCUUCAAGUUUUGUGACUGAGAUGCCGAGGAACACAAAACAAGGUGUGAAGUAACCAUGCAAAUUACUUGGUACACUUAAUGUAUUACCCCUCAAUCAAAGUGCCAGUUAACCACACACGCUCCAACGAUACUAUGAUAAACAUUAAGUCACCCUUUCCAUACCUUGAUAAGUCCAAGUUAGUGUGUCAGUUAACCACACAUGCUCCACUAACGACUUAAUCAAAGUGCAAAUUGUAACUUCACGGAUUAGCACCUUAUUCACAUUUUCCUAAAGUAACUAAGAUUGGGAAUUAAUAAAAGUUUAGCUACUUUAGUAUAUUCAUAAUACUUAUUAUGAGAAUUAUAGUCCUUGUUCUACCUUUUCGGCUAACGACCCUCCACCGAUCAAGGAAACGGUGGGUGAGAUUAGACACCCAUUAAGUUGUCAUUUUAUAGUAAACAACCUUAUACCCCCCUUAUAGACCGGCUUCAUGAAUGAGGCCUACUAAUGGUAAAACGACUUUUAUCUUAGACAUAUAUAAUUAUUAUUCACUUAUAAUAUUAUAGAGUAUAAGGGUUGAAUUUUAAUAUUUAAAAUUCUAGGGUUGGAACUAAAGUUUUAAUUAUGACUUUACUUGCUCUAAAACUUGAGGGCAAGUUUUGUAAACUUUCAAAACUUUUCAUUUCUCAUAGCUUAUGAGUUUAUUAGAGUAUUAAAAUGAAGACUCUUCAUUUUCAUAACUCUUGUGUUCUUUUAAUGGUUUUAAUUCAAGUGUGACUCUUAGUUUCUCCAUAACUUGAGGACAAGUUAUGGACUCCAUUAAAACACAUAAUGAUCAAGAAUUAACUAACAUGGAGGUUACAAAUAAUUCCUAUGAUCAUCUAAAUUCAUAAGUUCAAUAACAUGAUUAUCAAGAAUUUCAAGAAUCAUAACAAACUUAUAUAAAACGUGUAAUUUUUUAUAAUAUCCAUUGUAAAUGCAUUAGCAUAAACAUUACACCAACUAAAACAAGUUUUAAAACACCAAAAUAGUUUAGGGUAAUGUUUCUAGUCCAUUUCCAGCACCAUAACUCGAAAAUCUGAACACUGCAGCAUGUACUCGUCGACUGCAUGAACUGACUCGACGAGUUGCAUGCAUUUCUUCAUGGACUCGUCGAGUCUCCCCUUGUACUUGGCGAGUUCAUGCAGGCAGUGAACAAAAAACUGCGUUUUUCAGCUAUUUUGCAUCAAGUAUCAAACAAACAAGCCUAUGCUCUGAUACCACUGUUGGGUUUUGAGCAUUCUAACACUCCUAUGGUGUACAUGCAACCCUAGAAACCUUUGAUCUAUGUUUGACUAAUAUACAUGCAAAAUGAUUUUCCAAGGUUUAUAAUCCUAUCUAGCAUACAUGGAGAUCUUUUAUUCUAAUAGUUAGUAAGAAUUACAUAGCUCUUUGUAGCUUGGAUUCCUUUGAAACCUUGUGAGCCUAGCACCUCAUGUGUGAUGACUCAAAUGCUUCACACAACACCAAGUACACUUGGAAUAAACUCUUAAGAGAAUAAGAACACUUAGUAUUUUCGACUAGCCCUCUUUUAUUCACUCUAGUGGCCGAAAAUGGUGAAGAAUAGCUUCUUUAUAUAGUAUGUUACAAUUAGGGUUACACGAUGUAAACCCUAAUUGUCAUGACCUUUCAUUUCCAUGACCCAUUGGUUAUGUAACCCCCAUGGAGAAUCCAUGGAGCAUCUUAUGGGUUUAACCCAACUUGAUAAUCCAUGGAGCCUUGGCCCACUAUAUAAGUUAUGGAUGAUUGACACAAUCAAUCCAUAUAUUUAAUUAGUCUUCUUUUGAUCAAAU